GGUCGUUUAGCUCAGCUGGGAGAGCACCUCCCUUACAAGGAGGGGGUCACUGGUUCGACCCAGUAACGACCACCA
rnacentral:tRNA from 2 species